GAGGAUGUCCAUGCCACUGUUCUGUAAAUAGUUUGGGCUGUGCAGAAGGAUGAGGAGAUGCUGGAAACUGGAAUAGCCAUGGAAGAAGUAACUGGAUAAGAGGAUGUCCAUGCCACUGUUCUGUAAAUAGUUUGGGCUGUGCAGAAGGAUGAGGAGAUGCUGGAAUCUGGAAAAGCCAUGGAAGAAGUAACUGGGGAGCCUUCAUUUGAAUGAUAAGAGGAGGCCCAUGCCAUACUGAAAAGAUGCAGACCAAAAACAUAUUCUCUUAAGUUUUAAUAAAUAGUUUAAAAAACUUG